AGAGUUUGAUCCUGGCUCAGAACGGACGCUGGCGGCAUGCCUAACACAUGCAAGUCGAACGCUCGGAGCGAUCCGGGAGUGGCGGACGGGUGAGUAACGCGUGGGAACCUGCCCUGGAGUGUGGGAUAACCGAGGGAAACUUCGGCUAAUACCGCAUACGACCUGAGGGUGAAAGAUUUAUCGCUCUAGGAGGGGCCCGCGUCGGAUUAGCUAGUUGGUGGGGUAACGGCUCACCAAGGCGAUGAUCCGUAGCUGGUCUGAGAGGAUGAUCAGCCACACUGGGACUGAGACACGGCCCAGACUCCUACGGGAGGCAGCAGUGGGGAAUAUUGGACAAUGGGGGCAACCCUGAUCCAGCAAUGCCGCGUGAGUGAUGAAGGCCUUAGGGUUGUAAA
rnacentral:rRNA from 1 species